UUUAAUCCCUUGGUCUGGACCUCUGUGGGUUUCAAGCGCUUCUGUAACACUGCAGCCAACUUAUUACCUUACCCAUGCUGGGAGGAUGCUGGUGAGAGAGCUGGCAGUGUUAAACCCACAGAUUUUCAUGAAUGAGCAACACAUUUUCAUCUCUCAUGCUGGCACGAUGGUAUGGGAUGAACAGUUUUCUCAGCCUGAAGAGUAUGUGGAUGAGGAGGUUCGGCAGCAGCCCUGUCUGGC